rnacentral:lncRNA from 1 species
AGAUCUAGAGGCACAGUGAAUGCGGAUCAGCUCGCUGUACAGAGAUGAUUAUGCGCACAACUUAAUCUAAUUUGUUGUAUGUUUUGAAGCAGGGUCUCUUGUAGCCCAGGCUAGCCUCCAGUUGGCUAUGUGCUUGUGGAUGAGCUUGAACUUCUGAUACUCCCAAUACUCCGGAGUGUUGGGGUUAUAGGCGUGUUCUGUCACCCCCCAGUCAGACUAUGCAGUGCUGGAGGAUGCAUCUAGGGAUCUGUGUAUGAGGCACACACACUGUACCAACUAAACCACAAUCCCAGUCCCGUGUCUUGAUCUAAAUAACCUAGUUAAUCCUCUUGUUAAGUCCCGCAGCUGUAGAGGCAUGGGAAUAACACUAAGGCGAUAUGCCAGAGGCUUCCACAGUGCUACACAGAAAAUGAUCUACAAUUAGGGCACCAACCAGCCCUGCCGCCAUGCAGGCUCACAGGCCCUUGCUCCUUGGAAGUUCUGAAAGCCACACUUGGAAUUCAGAGCACAUUAUCACCCAGAAACAAGCCCCGAGCUCAAGUGCAGAAUGCAAAUUUAUCCUAAAAUAGAAUCUUCCAGAAACUUCUGGAAAGGAACAGAAAGAACGAACAUUUGACUAACAGCAUUAGAAAACAAACUUUACAAUGAGCUCUAGUAAUAAUUGUGAGAAUGGUUUUAGUAUUCUUGCCAUUCUUGCUUAGUCUUGAACAUUAUUGCUUUCUUGAUCUGAACCCUAACUCUUUGUCUUAGUAUUUUGCCAUCCUAUACUGCCUCUAAGAGUCCCCUGGGUUGGAGCCAAGCCAAUUAUUUGUGUAUACUUUUCUUCUUGUGGUUUCUUUUGUCUGGUCCGUGUUCUUCCCUUUCUAAGAUCUGACAACUCUUGCUCCACUCAAACAUCAAAAUCAUGAAAACAUCCAUGUGAUGUCCCAAGAUGUCUCUACUCCCUGAACCACAAACCCCUCUGAGAAAACUUGGUACACAGCUUCAGGUAUUUACUCUACUGAUGUAAAAGUUUGAGGGCUCCAUUUAAAAUCAAUCUCAGGGCCAGGGAGAUGGCUCAGCAGGUAUGGGUGUCUGCUGCCAAGCCUGAGAUCUCUGGGACCAUGUGUUAAAAGGAGAGAAACAAUUCUCACAAGUUGUCUUAUUAUCUUCACACAUGAGCAUAUACA